CUUUAUCGUAUCAUUUCGGCUUCUAUAUUGAUUUUUUUCUCUGCCGGAGGUGGCCAGCCUUACCACCGACCCUCGUGCAUGAUUUGAGCAAGAUCGGUGAAGGGGUGUAGAGGCUGGAGUGUGAUGAAUGAUGUUGCAGAGACGUGCCCGAGACGUGCCCUGGGCAGGCUGCAACACAAGGCUCACUGGCGAUCCUGCCCGGCCAGCCUCCGCACGCACUACUCCUCUCCAGAUAAAGAUGGUUAAUGAUGAUGGCUCGGGGUCAUUUUCAUCUACUGAAGUUCACCUACAAAUGUUACCACCUACCGGUGAUGAUGGGAACACCUUUAGAACUCUUACACACGGAGAGGUCUUCCCGCACUCAGAGGAGGUCUUGCACCACCAAAGACUCUGCAAUGUUAAGAGGACAUAAUGGUGAGGAGUGUCCUCUUGGUGUCUAACUGUGUCUGGUGUCCAGUGGCUGUCGAGUUUAAUGCCAUCCACGUCAACCUUCACUGAUGCCCUGCAGAUUCCAGCGACUUUCACAAGAGGGUUGAUGUUCCUGACCUGAUGGUACAAGUCAUGACGCAAGAUGCACAGGUUCUUAUGACGCAAGGGUUACAUAGCCGAACAUCUAAGGAGGCUGGAGGAUGAUAUCAUCUUAGCGGCGGUGAGGAUGAUGCUGGAGUGGUGAUCAUCCAGCGUGUAUGAUCCAGAAUUCUUAAUUAAAUCAUGCGAGAUAAGACUGGUGGUGGUAAGGGUCUGAGGAUCUCUGCAGCGGCUCUUAUUGGCUCUGUGGUUGGCGGCUGUCAACAAAAAUAUUAUGAGGUUUUUUUACUCCAUAUUAAUCAACGGAUGUAUGUAUGUGUGGGUGUUAUGUGUGUGUGUGUGUGUGUAAAGUGUGUGUGUACAUAUCAAGAAAACACGACCUCUAUGUAAACACAACCACUUUGCACAGCCUUCCUCGAUAAGUCACACACACACACACACACACACACACACACACACACAGAGUUGACUUAGAGAGCCUCACCAGGUAGACUCAGGUGGUAGAUAAUUAAAGAUGUACACUGCCGCCAUCAUCAACUAUACACACUAAGUACACAUCACCAGGUGUAUAUAUACUAGGUGUAGACAUACCCUCACCAGCUUCACCUG